CUACGGGGGGCAGCAGUUAGGAAUAUUUUGCAAUGCGCGCAAGCGUGACAAAUUGAGUCAGAGUGCUUUUCUUAUUGAAAAGCUUUUAUGGAAUGUAAAAAGUUCCAUGAAUAAGGACUGGGUAAGACUAGUGCCAGCCGCCGCGGUAAUACUAGCGGUCCAAGUCGCAGCCAUUUUUAUUGGGUCUAAAACAUCCGUAGCUUGCUUAAUGAGUUCUUUGUGAAAUUUUAUCUCUCAAAGAUAAAACGUGCAAGGAGUACUGUUAAGCUAGAGACUGGAAGACGUAAGAAGUAUGUUCAAAGUAGCGGUAAAAUGUGUUAAUCUUGAACAGACUCACAAUAGCGAAGGCAUCUUACGAGGACAGUUCUGACAGUAAGGGAUGAAGGCUAAGGUCGCGAAAGGGAUUAGAUACCCGGGUAGUC
rnacentral:rRNA from 1 species